CAAAAGACCUCCUCCCCCAGCACAGCCAAGUGCAGACCAUCUCAGACACCUGCACUCAGGCCUGUAGUCUAAUCAUCCUCUCUAUGUGGACCUGCUGGGUAAACCCACGAGGAACCCAAGAACGGGCUCCCACAGCCCUCCCAUUCCGUUCCGGUUUUGGGGUUGGGGCCUCUCCAGGCCUUCACUCACCCUUCUGCCUAUGAUCUCACCUGAUCCCACUGAAACGCUUUCCUCCCAUCUCCCUUCCCUACCCCACUGUGCCCACACGACUAUGACAGUGUAAAGGGUGACACUGGGGUGGGAGACCAGUGCAAAGAACGAUUUUAAACCUCAGAACUAGCCAUAACUCUCAGAGGAAUAAGGAAAUGUAUCAGGCAGUGCAUUUUGCAAAAACUGUGACCUUAUCUCUUUCCCAAUGUCAUUGCUACAAGUAUAAGUUUCAGUGAUUUUGUAUGUGCCAACUGUCACUCGGCUGUGCAGGCCAGGCCCUUCUCUGUCACACUACUCUGUUCCACCGUUGUGACUUGAAGGCAGGCAUCCGCCAAAGGUAAGUGAAUGAGUAACUGUGUUCCAAGGAGAUGUUGUUUAUAGAUGCUAAAAUUUUGAUUUUUGUGUAAGCCCAUGUUAUUAAAUUUUUUUUUUUAUCCAAAACAUUUAUAGAUAUAGGACUGAGGCAUAAGUCUGUGGUAGAGCGCCUGCCCUGCAUACAUGAGACUCUGGCUUGAGUUGCCAGCACCCCUGACAUUAUAACUGUAUUCUCUUACUUCAUGGGUCAUGCAAAACCCAGGUUUGAUCUAUGCAUGAACAGGAUAGCCAAGGUUGCCUACAUGAUUUCUUCCAAGGUCUACAAAGAUCCUUGAGGUCAAGUAUUGUUUUCCAUGAUGUCUUUGUCAGAGCUGAGAGCUUCUGUACUCAGAAUCCAGUGAGAUCUUCCUCUACGCCACAGGCUGUCACCUCCUUAGGAGUCCCCAAGGUACAGUGGAAGGUGGAGCAUAGAAGCACAUUAUUUUUUAGUGUGUGUAUGUCUCUGUGUGUGGGUGCUCAUGAACAUGCAUUUGUGUGCAUGUGGAAAUCAGAGGACGACCUUGGCUGUCAUCCUCAGGGACACCAUCUACCUCCUUUGCUGCAAGAGGCCUGGAGUUCAAUUAGGCUAGACUGGCUGACCAGACAGUCCCAGGGGACCCUCCUACCUUCCCAGUGCUGGGAUGAUAGUGUGUGACGUCUUCCCACGGUUCUGGGGAUUGGACUCAGUUCCCGUGCUCAGAAGGACACUGCCACUCAGAGCCACUCUGUAACUCCCUACAAUGGCUCAGUCCGCUCUAGUCCCCUGAAGCCAGGAGGGAAAUGCUGGAAGGGAAAUAGUCUACAGAACUCAGGAACAGCAGGCCUGGCCACCUGCUUGGGACACUGAAUGAGGUACAAGGACCAAACACACGGCUGUGGUGACAUGACUUGCUUCCAGCAGGGUGCCUAUGGCCACAUGCUCCCCAGGAGGAAGCCAAUGUUCCUUACACAAGGCAAUCUGGAAUAGGAAAAGUCCUCCCAGAGGGAAACCUCUGACCGUCCUACUCAAGGCCAGCACGUGGGGAACCGUGAGCAGGAUCUUCUACGGAAGGAAACCCCCACUGUUCUGCCAUUUGGUUGAGCUGUGUGGGAAAGAUCUCCAAAGUUCAUCAAUGAAGAAAGUAGAAGAAGGAAGCGGAGGAGGGCUGCAGAAGAGGAGAAAGAGACCAUUAUAACAGUGUAUGACGAGAACAGUGAUUAUUUAAUCCUGGAAUUGCCCAACUGGCACCCUCAUUUUUCCAGACGAAGCACUGUGACAGCUGUGUAGUCAUGCCUGGGUUUUAUGUGGGUGCUAGGGCUCCAAACUCAAGGACCCAUGCUUGCUCAGCAGUCUCUGAACCCACAGAGCCCUCUCCCAGCCCCAAGUAUCUGUAUUUUUAAAGCCUCCAUGGUGGUUCAAAUCUGCGAGAAAAGUUGCACAACACUGUUCCCGGGCUUCUGAAUCCAUUGACGAUGUGAGACCCGGGCAUACGCGCUUUGGCAAGUGUGAAAUAUUAAGGACAGACCAGACCCCUAAUGUGAGAGUCUAUUUUCUACAAGGUAGGUUACUUCGGAUUCAGUUUAAAGGGAACAGAAUUGCCACCUGGAAUUGGGGGAUUUGCAGACUCUAGGAGAAAUGUAGUGGAUUGUUAAAAUGGGCAAGAAUUAGAAAGUUUUGGCGUAAUGAGUGCUUUUGUGACUGUACAGAAGAAGAGAUUUAAGUAUCAUUAGAAAUUAACGAGAUACUACUUCCACUAUGAAGCUGAGUAUGAGAACGGAAUUACUCAGAGCAAGAAAAGAGUCAUUCAUGUAGUGAUUUCAAGAGAAAAGCUUGUUACUCACUUCUCCCAGUGGCUAGAAUACUAUUGAAACCACCUGCCAGGAACCAUUUAAAAAUUAACUACCAUGUGGGUUAUUUUUUACAUGCAAGCACCUAGAACAAACACCUGCUCAAAGUUUACAACGCUGAAAAUGUAUUUGCCAAGAAACACAAUGAGACAUGCUCAAACUCAGAAAAUAGUCAAUUGUAGUGUCACUUUGACAUUGGUGAACAAAAUAUUUGUUAGUGUUUGAUUUUCAUUCCUGUGACUUGAUCUUUUUGUAGUCUCUUAACCAGAGACAGGAUGUUCACACACACACACACACACACACACACUCACACACACACUCACACACACUCACACACACACACAUGAACAUACACAUACAUAUACACACAUGCACAUUCACACAUAUACAUACAUAUACUCACAUACACAUACACACACACAUACACACACACACACACUCACACACACACUCACACACACACACACACUCACACACACACACACACACACACACACACACACUAUGAACAUACACAUACAUAUACACACAUGCACAUUCACACAUAUACAUACAUAUACUCACAUGCACAUACACACUCACACACAUACACACCAAAACAACAAAGCUUAGAAUUUAGAGUACAAGAAGGUUAGAAUCCCACCCUUAUUAGGUUCUGGAAGGUGACCUUGGAUAAUGACAACUCUCUAAACCUCAGUUUUAAAAGAGGGUUGAGGAGGAGGAGGAGGAAGCUCGUGAUGGUGAUGAUAAUGCUGGUGAUUCAUGAUGGUCGUAGUGGUCAUGAUGGUGAUGGUGAUGAUGGUGGUAGUUGUGAUGGUAAUGGUGGUGAUUAAACACCCAUAACAUAGGUUAUUUACAAAUACUAGGCUAUUCCUAGAACAGCAUUUUGGUAGAUGCUACUCAUUCCUCAAGUCAUGUUCUAUUAUAAACUAAGGAGCCCAUAGCCCUUACCUAU